GAUGAACGCUGGCGGCGUGCCUAAUACAUGCAAGUCGAGCGAACGGACGAGAAGCUUGCUUCUCUGAUGUUAGCGGCGGACGGGUGAGUAACACGUGGAUAACCUACCUAUAAGACUGGGAUAACUUCGGGAAACCGGAGCUAAUACCGGAUAAUAUUUUGAACCGCAUGGUUCAAAAGUGAAAGACGGUCUUGCUGUCUCUUAUAGAUGGAUCCGCGCUGCAUUAGCUAGUUGGUAAGGUAACGGCUUACCAAGGCAACGAUGCAUAGCCGACCUGAGAGGGGGAUCGGCCACACUGGAACUGAGACACGGUCCAGACUCCUACGGGAGGCAGCAGUAGGGAAUCUUCCGCAAUGGGCGAAAGCCUGACGGAGCAACGCCGCGUGAGUGAUGAAGGUCUUCGGAUCGUAAAACUCUGUUAUUAGGGAAGAACAUAUGUGUAAGUAACUGUGCACAUCUUGACGGUACCUAAUCAGAAAGCCACGGCUAACUACGUG
rnacentral:rRNA from 1 species